rnacentral:rRNA from 1 species
GUGGGUAGCGGUGAAAUUCCAAUCGAGCCCGGAGAUAGCUGGUUCUCCCCGAAAUAGCUUUAGGGCUAGCCUCAAGGUGAGAGAUACGGAGGUAGAGCACUGAAUGUCCUAGGGGGUAUUGCACCUACCGAAGACUAUCAAACUCCGAAUGCCGUCAUCUUAUACUUGGGAGUCAGACUGUGGGUGAUAAGAUUCAUAGUCGAAAGGGCAACAGCCCAGAUCGUCAGCUAAGGUCCCUAAAUGUAAGUUAAGUGGUAAAGGAUGUGGGAUUGCACAGACAACCAGGAUGUUGGCUUAGAAGCAGCCACUCAUUCAAAGAGUGCGUAAUAGCUCACUGGUCGAGUGAUCCUGCGCCGAAGAUUUCCGGGGCUAAAACUUACUACCGAAGCUACGGCAUCAGUCAUGAUGGGUAGGGGAGCUUCCCAUACGGGUUGAAGCAUGCCCGUAAGGACAUGUGGACAGUAGGGGAGUGAGAAUGUUGGCAUGAGUAGCGAGAUGUGGGCGAGAAUCCCACCGGCCGUACACCCCAGGUUUCCAGGGGAAGGUGCGUCCGCCCUGGGUUAGUCGGGACCUAAGCUGAGGCCGAAAGGCGUAGGUGAUGGACAACAGGUUGAUAUUCCUGUACUACCGAUAACCGUUUGAGAGAAGGGAUGACACAGUAGGAUAAGCUAAGCACACUGUUGGUUAUGUGUGCCCAAGCAUUGAGGCAGUCAAAGUAGGCAAAUCCGCUUUGAUAAUGCUGGGAUGUGAUGGGGAGCGAAAUUUAGUAGCGAAGUAGCUGAUUUCACACUGUCAAGAAAAGUCUCUAUCGAGGUUAAAGGUACCCGUACCGCAAACCGACACAGGUGGGUGAGGAGAGUAUCCUAAGGCCAGCGAGAGAACUGUUGUUAAGGAACUCGGCAAAAUGACCCCGUAACUUAGGGAUAAGGGGUGCCACCAUCAGGUGGCCGCAGAGAAUAGGCCCAAGCGACUGUUUACCAAAAACAUAGGUUUCUGCUAAGUCGCAAGACGAUGUAUAGG